rnacentral:rRNA from 1 species
UACGUAGGGGGCGAGCGUUGUCCGAAUUUACUGGGCGUAAAGAGCGCGUAGGCGGAUCUUUAAGUGAGUGGUGAAAGCUCGGGGCUCAACCCCGAUAGUGCCCGUUCAUACUGGGGAUUCUUGAGUGUGGGAGAGGCGAGUGGAAUUUCUGGUGUAGCGGUGAAAUGCGUAGAUAUCAGAAGGAACACCCAUGGCGAAGGCAGCUCGCUGGCCUACAACUGACGCUGAGGCGCGAAAGCUAGGGGGAGCGAACGGG